UGCCAGCCGCCGCGGUAAUACGGAGUGUGCAAGCGUUACUCGGAAUCACUGGGCUUAAAGAGCACGUAGGCGGAAACCAUAGUCGGUUGUGAAAGCCCCCAGCUCAACUGGGGAAUGGCUGCCGAUACUGGGUUUCUUGAGGACGAGAGGGGAGAGCGGAACUUCUGGUGGAGCGGUGAAAUGCGUAGAUAUCAGAAGGAACAUCGGUGGCGAAAGCGGCUCUCUGGCUCGUUUCUGACGCUGAGGUGCGAAAGCUAGGGUAGCGAACGGGAUUAGAUA
rnacentral:rRNA from 1 species